rnacentral:rRNA from 1 species
UUAAGUGACUAAGCGUACAAGGUGGAUGCCUUGGCAAUCAGAGGCGAAGAAGGACGUGCUAAUCUGCGAAAAGCUUGGAUGAGUCGAUAAGAGGCGUUUAAUCCAAGAUAUCCGAAUGGGGAAACCCAGUAGAUGAAGAAUCUACUAUCAACAAGUGAAUACAUAGCUUGUUGAGGCAAACCGGGAGAACUGAAACAUCUAAGUACCCCGAGGAAAAGAAAUCAACCGAGAUUUCGUCAGUAGCGGCGAGCGAAAGCGAAAGAGCCAGUAAGUGAUAACAGUAUGGUUAGGAGAAUGUGUUGGGAAGCACAAUCAAAGAGGGUGAUAAUCCCGUAUCUAAAAACCAUAUUGUGGUACUAAGCUAACGAGAAGUAGGGCGGGACACGUGAUAUCCUGUUUGAAGAAGGGGGGACCAUCCUCCAAGGCUAAAUACUCCUGAUUGACCGAUAGUGAACCAGUACUGUGAAGGAAAGGCGAAAAGAACCCCGGUGAGGGGAGUGAAAUAGAACCUGAAACCUUGUACGUACAAGCAGUGGGAGCCUGAAAGGGUGACUGCGUACCUUUUGUAUAAUGGGUCAGCGACUUAUAUUUUGUAGCGAGGUUAACUGAAUAAGGGAGCCGAAGGGAAACCGAGUCUUAACUGGGCGACUAGUUGCAAGGUAUAGACCCGAAACCCGGUGAUCUAGCCAUGGGCAGGUUGAAGGUUGGGUAACACUAACUGGAGGACCGAACCGACUAAUGUUGAAAAAUUAGCGGAUGACUUGUGGCUGGGGGUGAAAGGCCAAUCAAACCGGGAGAUAGCUGGUUCUCCCCGAAAUCUAUUUAGGUAGAGCCUUGAGGUGACACCUUUGGGGGUAGAGCACUGUUUCGGCUAGGGGUCCAUCCCGGAUUACCAACCCGAUGCAAACUACGAAUACCAAAGAGUGAUACUCAGGAGACACACGGCGGGUGCUAACGUCCGUCGUGGAGAGGGAAACAACCCAGACCGCCAGCUAAGGUCCCGAAGUCUAUAUUAAGUGGGAAACGAAGUGGGAAGGCUUAGACAGCUAGGAUGUUGGCUUAGAAGCAGCCAUCAUUUAAAGAAAGCGUAAUAGCUCACUAGUCGAGUCGGCCUGCGCGGAAGAUGUAACGGGGCUGAAAUAUAGCACCGAAGCUGCGGCAUCAGACGAAAGUCUGUUGGGUAGGGGAGCGUUGUGUAAGCGGAUGAAGGUUAAUCGAGAGGUUAGCUGGACGUAUCACAAGUGCGAAUGCUGACAUAAGUAACGAUAAAACGGGUGAAAAACCCGUUCGCCGGAAGACCAAGGGUUCCUGUCCAACGUUAAUCGGGGCAGGGUGAGUCGGCCCCUAAGGCGAGGCUGAAAAGCGUAGUCGAUGGGAAACAGGUUAAUAUUCCUGUACUUGGUAAAGCUGCGAUGUGGGGACGGAGUAGGUUAGGUUAUCGCACUAUUGGAUAUGUGCGUUUAAGUUGGUAGGUGGGAAGUUUAGGCAAAUCCGGACUUCUAUUAAACACUGAGAGAUGAUGACGAGGCUCUAAGGAGCUGAAGUAACUGAUACCACACUUCCAGGAAAAGCCACUAAGCGACAGGCUUUACUAAACCGUACUGAAAACCGACACAGGUGGUCAGGUAGAGAAUACUCAGGCGCUUGAGAGAACUCGGGUGAAGGAACUAGGCAAAAUAGCACCGUAACUUCGGGAGAAGGUGCGCCGGCGUAGAUUGUAAGGGCUAGCCCCUGAAGGUUGAACCGGUCGAAGAUACCAGCUGGCUGCAACUGUUUAUUAAAAACACAGCACUCUGCAAACACGAAAGUGGAGGUAUAGGGUGUGAUGCCUGCCCGGUGCUGGAAGGUUAAUUGAUGGUGUAAUCGCAAGAGAAGCACCUGAUCGAAGCCCCAGUAAACGGCGGCCGUAACUAUAACGGUCCUAAGGUAGCGAAAUUCCUUGUCGGGUAAGUUCCGACCUGCACGAAUGGCAUAAUGAUGGCCAGGCUGUCUCCACCCGAGACUCAGUGAAAUUGAAAUCGCCGUGAAGAUGCGGUGUACCCGCGGCUAGACGGAAAGACCCCGUGAACCUUUACUAUAGCUUGACACUGAACAUUGAAUUUUGAUGUGUAGGAUAGGUGGGAGACUAAGAAGUAGUCACGCCAGUGAUUAUGGAGUCAUCCUUGAAAUACCACCCUUUAACGUUUGAUGUUCUAACGAAGAUUGCGGAACGCGGUCUCGGACAGUGUCUGGUGGGUAGUUUGACUGGGGCGGUCUCCUCCCAAAGCGUAACGGAGGAGCACGAAGGUUUGCUAAUCACGGUCGGACAUCGUGAGGUUAGUGCAAUGGUAUAAGCAAGCUUAACUGCGAGACAGACAAGUCGAGCAGGUACGAAAGUAGGUCAUAGUGAUCCGGUGGUUCUGAAUGGAAGGGCCAUCGCUCAACGGAUAAAAGGUACUCCGGGGAUAACAGGCUGAUACCGCCCAAGAGUUCAUAUCGACGGCGGUGUUUGGCACCUCGAUGUCGGCUCAUCACAUCCUGGGGCUGAAGUAGGUCCCAAGGGUAUGGCUGUUCGCCAUUUAAAGUGGUACGCGAGCUGGGUUUAGAACGUCGUGAGACAGUUCGGUCCCUAUCUGCCGUGGGCGUAGGAGAAUUGGUUGGGGCUGCUCCUAGUACGAGAGGACCGGAGUGGACGCACCACUGGUGUUCCGGUUGUGUCGCCAGACGCAUUGCCGGGUAGCUAAGUGCGGAAGAGAUAAGUGCUGAAAGCAUCUAAGCACGAAACUUGCCAAGAGAUGAGUUCUCCCUGUCUUUAAGACAGUAAGGGUUGUUUAAGACGAAGACGUAGAUAGGUCUGGUGUGUAAGUGAUGUGAGUCAUUGAGCUAACAGAUACUAAUUGCCCGAGAGGCUUAACUAU